rnacentral:rRNA from 1 species
CUACGGGCUGCAGCAGUGGGGAAUAUUGCACAAUGGGCGCAAGCCUGAUGCAGCAACGCCGUGUGAGUGAUGACGGCCUUCGGGUUGUAAAACUCUGUCCUAAGGGAAGAAACAAAUGACGGUACCUUAGGAGGAAGCCCCGGCUAACUACGUGCCAGCAGCCGCGGUAAUACGUAGGGGGCAAGCGUUAUCCGGAAUCACUGGGCGUAAAGGGUGCGUAGGCGGCUUAGCAAGCCAGGGGUGAAAGGCAUUGGCUCAACCAAUGUAAGCCUUUGGAACUGCUAGGCUUGAGUGCAGGAGAGGUAAGUGGAAUUCCUAGUGUAGAGGUGAAAUUCGUAGAUAUUAGGAGGAACACCAGUGGCGAAGGCGACUUACUGGACUGUAACUGACGCUGAGGCACGAAAGCGUGGGGAGCGAACAGGAUUAGAUACCCCGGUAGUC